ensembl:lncRNA
GAGGCGGCUGCCAGCCCGGCGGCGGUGGCGGCAGUCCUGUUCGCCUCGACUGCGUUCAGGGGAGGCUGGCAACAGUUUCCUCCAGCGCCCAGGAUGCAGCGGGCAAAGGAGGUGAUGAAAGCGUCGGACGGCAGUCUCCUGGGCGACCCCAGGCGCACACCGCUGAGCAAGAAGGAGGGUGUCAAGUGGCAGAGGCCGAGGCUGACCCGCCAGGCUCUGAUGCGAUGCUGCCUGGUCAAGUGGAUCCUGUCCAGCGCGGCCCCGCAGGGCUCAGACAGCAGCGACAGUGAGCUGGAGCUGUCUGCCGUGCGCCACCAGCCUGAGGGGCUGGACCAGCUGCAGGCCCAGACCAAGUUCACCAAGAAGGAGCUGCAGUCCCUCUACAGGGGCUUCAAGAAUGAGUGCCCCACGGGCCUGGUGGAUGAAGACACGUUCAAACUCAUUUACUCACAGUUCUUCCCUCAGGGAGAUGCCACCACCUACGCACACUUCCUGUUCAAUGCCUUCGACGCUGACGGGAAUGGGGCCAUCCGCUUUGAGGACUUUGUGAUCGGUCUCUCCAUCCUCCUGCGAGAGCAGCCUCCAUGAGAAACUUUUUUUCUAAUAUAUUUGCAAAAAGUGAAUAUUUUGCUCCAGACAACCCCACCCCACACAGACACAGACAGACACACACACACAGACACACACACACAGACACACACACACACACCUCCUUCCUCUGGGCUGGCAGAUGGCAGGGCAGAGGUUAGGGAGGGGCCGAGUCUGGCUGGGAGCUGGGUCCGGGUGAUGAGAGCCACACAGCCCCUGGCCACCCUGGGCCAGCCUCUGGGAGCUGCUCUGGACUUUUUUAGGGCCGCACAUGCUGCAUAUGGAAGUUCCUGGGCUAGGGGUCAAAUUGGAGCUGCAGCUGCUGGCCAGUGCCACAGCCACAGCCACAGCAGAUCCGAACUGCUUCUGUGACCUGCACUACAGCUCACAGCAAUGCUGGAUCCUUAACCCACUGAGCAAGGCCAGGGAUCGAACCUUCGUCCUCAUGGAUGCUAGUCAGGUUUGCUGGCACUCCCUGCCCUCUGACUACACUUCCAGAAUAGCCCUCAGCGCAGGACCCCAGAUGGACAGCUGGGGGUCAAGGGAAUUUGGCCCAGGGAGGAGGUGACUGGACAGAGUCUGCUUUCCUGGAAAUGCUUCCCUGGGUCCCAGGACAUCUGCCAGGCCACACAGCUGUGUGUGCCGGUGGGGAGCGGCCAGCGGGCUCUGUCCUCCUUCAUCCCAGGAAAGGGGCUUUCAAGCUGGGGUUGGGUUUUUUGAUGGAGAAUCUGAGGGGAACUCUGCUGACUCCACUGGAGGUGGGAAGAAGCCUUCCUUUGCCCAGGCUGGCUCCGUGGGGAUGCAUGCUUACCCCGCCGGGGCCCCCAGGUCACUGUCAGUCCUGAGAAGGGGUCACCCGGCUCAGGGCUGGCAGCCAGGGAGUGUGGGGGGAAGGGAGGCAGAGCAGCCUGGGAAGGGGCUCCUCCAUCUGUCUUUCCUGUUGGCCCCUGUCACCCUCGGCCCAGCAGCUUGAAUGAGCCCCCUCCCCCCUUCCUGGUUGGGGUCCGGAAGCCGUGUGGCCGCCCCUCCACACAGGCUCACCUCAACCCCAUACAAAAAGCACAAGGGCCCUAGCAGCUCAGGCUGCAGCCCACGAGCGGACACUCUGCUCUUCAAGGCAAGGCCAUCCUGGUGGGCUGAGGCCUGCGUCCCACCAGCCCAGAUCAGGUGGCCCCAGGGUUCCUUGGGGGGUCAGUUCUGUGCCUCAGAGCAGUGGGGGACCCGAAGCCUACCGCCCACCCAGCCCAGCCCAGCCACCUUCAAAAGCACAAACCCUGGGGAUUCUGCUUGGCUGGAUUCUGCUCUUGAGGGCGAAGGCCAGUGUCAGUCUGAAGCUAGCGCCAGUGGGGGUCGAGGGGCUGUGGUCAGGUGGCAGGUCAACAGAAAUUUCCAAGACAGAGAGGCUGCUCCCACCUGGCCAGGUCGCCCCGGGAAGGAACCCAGUCUCAGGCCACAGGGGCCCUUCCCAGGAACAUUCCCAAAGCAAACAUUCCAUCGGCCGCUGCCCCAUCUCUGCUCAGUGAGCAGGGCNNNNNNNNNNNNNNNNNGCAGCGGAGGCCGUGGAGACUGGCCUGGCUCAGCCUUGGGGACCCCUUGGCACCCCCCUACGGGUGGUCCUCCCCCUUGGAGUGGCACCAACACCCAUCUCCAGUCUGACUGGGGGCUCCCUCUCCCCCCACUCCAGGAGGGCAUCAGCUUUCCCAGGCUCAGGGAAUCUUUUCCCACAUCCCUGCCCCCCACCCCCAGCCCAGCCCUCCCAGCUGGUGUGGCUUUGAUUCUAAGAGGCCAAGGCCACAUGAGAGGGUCACCACCAUGCCCUGCCCCAUGCCCUGCCCACCCCCUGACCUUGGGCCAGACUGGCUGCAGGUCCAGCAGAAAAGGCUGGGAUGCAGAGCAGCCUCAUGUCUGUAUGGCAGAAGUGUCUCCCUCGGGCGCGGCCUGUGGGGGUGGUUCCUGUUCUCAGCACCCACCAAUAUUCAGUCCUGUAUAUUUUAAUAAAAUAAACUUGACAAAGG